AUUGAACGCUGGCGGCAUGCCUUACACAUGCAAGUCGAACGGUAACGGUCUUCGGAUGCUGACGAGUGGCGAACGGGUGAGUAAUACAUCGGAACGUGCCCGAUCGUGGGGGAUAACGGAGCGAAAGCUUUGCUAAUACCGCAUACGAUCUACGGAUGGAAGCAGGGGACCGCAAGGCCUUGCGCGAACGGAGCGGCCGAUGGCAGGUUAGGUAGGUGGUGGGAUAAAAGCUUACCAAGCCGACGAUCUGUAGCUGGUCCGAGAGGACGACCAGCCACACUGGGACUGAGACACGGCCCAGGCUCCUACGGGAGGCAGCAGUGGGGAAUUUUGGACAAUGGGCGCAAGCCUGAUCCAGCAAUGCCGCGUGCAGGAUGAAGGCCUUCGGGUUGUAAACUGCUUUUGUACGGAACGAAAAGGCUCUGGUUAAUACCUGGGGCUGAUGGCGGUACCGUAAGAAUAAGCACCGGCUAACUACGUGCCAGCCGCCGCCGUAACAC
rnacentral:rRNA from 1 species